rnacentral:rRNA from 1 species
AACGCGAAGAACCUUACCGGGGCUUGACAUCCCGCGACCAUCUAGGAGACUAGGUUUCCGGGCAACCGGACGCGGAGACAGGUGCUGCAUGGCUGUCGUCAGCUCGUGCCGUGAGGUGUUGGGUUAAGUCCCGCAACGAGCGCAACCCUUGUCGUGUGUUGGUCAGCAAUGAUCUCUCACACGAGACCGCCGGUGACAAGCCGGAGGAAGGUGGGGAUGACGUCAAGUCAGCAUGGCCCUUACGUCCCGGGCUACACACGUGCUACAAUGGAAUGGACAGCGAGUCGCGAACCCGCGAGGGCAAGCUAAUCUCUUAAACCAUUCCUCAGUUCGGAUUGGAGGCUGCAACUCGCCUCCAUGAAGUCGGAAUCGCUAGUAACCGCAGAUCAGCUACGCUGCGGUGAAUACGUUCCCGGGCCUUGUA